GACGAACGCUGGCGGCGUGCUUAACACAUGCAAGUCGAACGGAAAGGCCUUUUCGGAGGUACUCGAGUGGCGAACGGGUGAGUAACACGUGGGUGAUCUGCCCUGCACUCUGGGAUAAGCCUGGGAAACUGGGUCUAAUACCGGAUAGGACCGCACUUUAGUGUGUGUGGUGGAAAGUUUUUUCGGUGUAGGAUGAGCCCGCGGCCUAUCAGCUUGUUGGUGGGGUAAUGGCCUACCAAGGCGGCGGCGGGUAGCCGGACUGAGAGGUUGGUCGGCCACAGUGGGACUGAGAUACGGCCCAGACGCCUACGGGAGGCAGCAGUGGGGAAUAUUGCACAAUGGGCGCAAGCCUGAUGCAGCGACGCCGCGUGGGGGAGGACGGCCUUCGGGUUGUAAACUCCUUUCGCCAGGGACGAAGCGUUUUGUGACGGUACCUGGAGAAGAAGCACCGGCUAACUACGUG
rnacentral:rRNA from 1 species